rnacentral:rRNA from 1 species
AGAGGUGCUUGCACUGAUUAAUCUUUUCGUAUCUUAGUGGCGGACGGGUGAGUAACGCGUGGGUAACCUGCCUUAUACCGGGGGAUAACACUUAGAAAUAGGUGCUAAUACCGCAUAAGCGCACGGUGUCGCAUGACACAGUGUGAAAAACUCCGGUGGUAUAAGAUGGACCCGCGUCUGAUUAGCCAGUUGGCAGGGUAACGGCCUACCAAAGCGACGAUCAGUAGCCGGCCUGAGAGGGUGAACGGCCACAUUGGGACUGAGACACGGCCCAAACUCC